GGUGGAGUGGUGGAGUGGUUAGCACACCCGACCGGACAUUGGGAGACCCAGAGUCCAAAUCUUGGCUCCGCCG
rfam:Ixodes scapularis strain Wikel colony gcontig_1108378280910, whole genome shotgun sequence.